rnacentral:rRNA from 1 species
CGAACGCUGGCGGCGUGGAUUAGGCAUGCAAGUCGAACGAUCUCUUUUCUUCGGGAGGGGGAUAGUGGCAAACGGGUGAGGAACACGUGGGUAAUUUACCUUUAGGUUUGGGACAACUUGCCGAAAGGCAAGCUAAUACCGGAUAAGACUACGAUUUCACAGAGAUUGUAGUUAAAGGCGGGGAUCUUGAAAAUAGACCUGUCUCCUAUUGAUGAGCCCGCGUCCUAUCAGCUUGUUGGUGAGGUAAAAGCUCACCAAGGCGAUGACGGGUAGCUGGUCUGAGAGGAUGGUCAGCCACACUGGGACUGAGAUACUGCCCAGACUCCUACGGGAGGCUGCAGUCGAGAAUCUUUUGCAAUGCCCGAAAGGGUGACAAUGCGACGCCGCGUGAGCGAUGAAGGCCUUCGGGUUGUAAAGCUCUGUCAGCAGGGAUGAAUACAGACGAAUCAAUACUUCGUCUGUUUGACGGUACCUGCAGAGGAAGCCUCGGCUAACUCC